rnacentral:rRNA from 1 species
UACGUAGGUGGCAAGCGUUGUUCGGAAUUAUUGGGCGUAAAGGGCGCGUAGGCGGUUUGUUAAGUCGGCUGUGAAAGCCCGGGGCUCAACCCCGGAGGGUCAGCCGAUACUGGCAGACUAGAGUACGGAAGAGGUAGCUGGAAUUCCCGGUGUAGCGGUGAAAUGCGUAGAUAUCGGGAGGAGCACCUGAGGCGAAGGCGGGCUACUGGGCCGAUACUGACGCUGAUGCGCGAAAGCCAGGGGAGCGAACGGG